CCUCAUCGACGCGGAAGAUUCUCCCUCCUCAUUAAUCGUACAAGCCGAGCAAAAACUGAAGAAAACGUUGUGUGCUAUGGCUACGUUUCGCUUUGGACAGCACAUCAUAAAGUCCUCGGCCGUGUUCCUGCAGACGGAGUUGUCCUAUGCCCUGGUCAACCGAAAGCCAGUCGUGCCCGGUCAUGUUUUAGUUUGCCCCCUUCGAGUCGUCGAGCGGUUCCGGGAUCUUCAUCCUGAUGAAGUGUCAGAUCUGUUCAUGACCACACAGAGAGUGGCUGAUGUUAUUGAGAAACACUUUCAGGCGACAUCUCUAACCAUCGCUUUACAGGACGGACCUGAGGCAGGACAGACAGUCAAGCAUGUCCACGUCCACGUGCUGCCGAGGAAGACAGGAGACUUUGAGAGGAACGACAGCAUCUACGAUGAGCUCCAGAAACAUGACAAAGAAGGUGAGGAUGUUCCUUCUAAAUGGAGAUCAGAAGAGGAGAUGACCAAAGAGGCGUCAGAAUUACGAGGCCUCUUCAAUGAACCUCUUUAGGUUUUGUGGCGAUGGUAGAGCCGAUCCAUGGACCUGGAAGCUUCCAUCACUGUAUUUCAGUCACUGUGCUCUGUCAGCAAAGCCACAGAUCACAUCUUCUCUCCGGAUGGGUCAAUGGAGAGAGAGAGAGGUGGAGAGAAACACACUCUCUUUCAAAGACCGUCUUAGCCUCGGUUGCUCUUUAGGACAUUUACAUUUCACAGAGAAACUUGUGUGCUCCAUCUGCUGGCAAGAGUUAUUAUGCAAACUAGCUAAUACAACAUACAGACACAUGCACUGCACUGAAGAACAGGGCCGUGCAUUUAAAAGUAUGAAUUUUUACUUCAGCCAAAUGACAGCGAUUGAACUUUGCGCCUGCUACCUCAAUGAUGUCAGGUACUUAACGGCACGUUCACGGGGUGUAAACAGAGGAAGCGACUCCCUCCCGUUCCUGUGUGGAAAACAAAUUGCCUUCUUUCCGGGGAUUUAGCAGAGUUUUGGAGCACUGAGCGUGCAUCAGAGAGCACAGAGGAUGUAUAAUGAGUUCCAUGCUUGUGAAAUCAUAAACCGGAUGGAGGCUGCCCGGAGUCCAGGAGCGCUGUUGGCCACCGAACGCCAUGUUUUAAUGCUGCACUAUUCCCACAUGGAUUGCAUGCACGGCACACUACCUCUUUACUUCACUUGCAGAAGUGUUUGUUGUGAAGUUUAUCUACACCCUCACCCUUCUGUCUCACAAACACACACA